rnacentral:rRNA from 1 species
CCUAAGGCGAGGCCGAAAGGCGUAGUCGAUGGGAAACAGGUUAAUAUUCCUGUACUUGGUGUUACUGCGAAGGGGGGACGGAGAAGGCUAUGUCAGCCGGGCGACGGUUGUCCCGGUUUAAGCGUGUAGGCUGACUUUCCAGGCAAAUCCGGAAAGUUAAGGCUGAGGCGUGAUGACGAGGCACCACGGUGCUGAAGUGACAAAUGCCCUGCUUCCAGGAAAAGCCUCUAAGCAUCAGGUAACAUCAAAUCGUACCCCAAACCGACACAGGUGGUCAGGUAGAGAAUACCAAGGCGCUUGAGAGAACUCGGGUGAAGGAACUAGGCAAAAUGGUGCCGUAACUUCGGGAGAAGGCACGCUGACAUGUAGGUGAAGCCCCUGCGGGUGGAGCUGAAGUCAGUCGAAGAUACCAGCUGGCUGCAACUGUUUAUUAAAAACACAGCACUGUGCAAACACGAAAGUGGACGUAUACGGUGUGACGCCUGCCCGGUGCCGGAAGGUUAAUUGAUGGGGUUAUCGCAAGAGAAGCUCCUGAUCGAAGCCCCGGUAAACGGCGGCCGUAACUAU